GAUGAACGCUAGCGGCAGGCCUAACACAUGCAAGUCGAGGGGGAGGUUACUUUCGGGUAACUGAGACCGGCGUACGGGUGCGUAACGCGUAUACAAUCUGCCUUUCACUGGGGGAUAGCCCGAAGAAAUUUGGAUUAAUACCCCAUAGUAUAGUAAUACGGCAUCGUGAUGCUAUUAAAGCUUAGGUGGUGAAAGAUGAGUAUGCGUUCUAUUAGCUAGUUGGAGAGGUAACGGCUCCCCACGGCGAUGAUAGAUAGGGGUUCUGAGAGGGAUGUCCCCCACACUGGUACUGAGAUACGGACCAGACUCCUACGGGAGGCAGCAGUGAGGAAUAUUGGACAAUGGUCGGAAGACUGAUCCAGCCAUGCCGCGUGCAGGAUGAAGGUCUUAUGGAUUGUAAACUGCUUUUGUAAGGGAAGAAUAAGGGCUACGCGUAGUUUGAUGACGGUACCUUACGAAUAAGCAUCGGCUAACUCCGUG
rnacentral:rRNA from 1 species